ACGUUUGUAUACAUGUACUUACUUGUAUAUUACAUAUAAAUUUAGAGAGCUGAUUUUGAUCAAAAUUAAAUGUUUAAAAUUACUUCAAAUGCCAUAUACUGGAUUGUAAUGUGUGUCAGCAAAUGAAGAAUGCUGUUAGCUAGCAUGGCAUUCUUGUGGUUGGGAAACCCUUUAUACUAUUAUGGUAGUACAUACUGUAUGGAAGGAAAAUUGACAGUUAUAUUUUGCAAUUAGUGAAUUGGUGCCAAUUAAGUUUGCAAAAGCAUGUACAUGAAUAUUUUGCUUUAUUCUGAACAUGCAUGCUUAAUGACUGUGGUUGGCAAAUUGCCAAUAUUAAACCACCAAUACAUACAUUGUAUUAUAGAAUCACCAAUAUUUUAGUGUUACUAAAAAUUCCUGCUAUGGUAUUAUUUCUAAAAAUUGAAAUUUUUGCCUUCCCUUAAAUCCUUACCCACCCUCUCUCUUUCUAGGGAACUAUUGAAUCUUUUAACAUACAGACCAACAAAUGGGCAUCAAUGUAUGUAUUUAAAAGGCUGAAGUGGCUACAAAAUAAAAUGUUGUCUCAUUUUAUUACGAUUAUAUUUCUUGCACUGUGGCACGGUCUAUGGCCAGGGUACUUUAUUACUUUGACAUUUGAGUUUAUAGCCAUCAUAUGUGAAAGACAAUUUAUUCAGUUUAUUAUCUAUUCACAGUUUAAUAAAUAUUUUCCAUUGAGUGGAAUAUUAUCAGAAGUGUAUCAGGCAAGGAGCUUGCUGUCUAAGCUUCUCAUAAUGAUAAUAACUGGUAAG